UAAAAAGAUAAGCUAAACUAAGCUUAUGGGCUCAUACCCCGUCUAUGAAGGCACCUUCUCUUUUUAA
rnacentral:tRNA from 2 species